rnacentral:rRNA from 1 species
CAGUAGCCGCGGGAAUACGUAGGUGGCAAGCGUUGUCCGGAAUUAUUGGGCGUAAAGCGCGCGCAGGUGGUUUAAUAAGUCUGAUGUGAAAGCCCCCGGCUCAACCGGGGAGGGUCAUUGGAAACUGGGAAACUUGAGUGCAGAAGAGGAGAGUGGAAUUCCACGUGUAGCGGUGAAAUGCGUAGAGAUGUGGAGGAACACCAGUGGCGAAGGCGACUCUCUGGUCUGUAACUGACGCUGAGGAGCGAAAGCGUGGGGAGCGAACAGGAUUAGAUACCCCAGUAGUCCCUGUCUCUUAUAC